rnacentral:antisense_RNA from 3 species
AACUACGGUGGGCGAUGCGUGUGGCCGCAAGGCCAUCCGGUUUUCUUCAGUUGCGCCGGGGUUCCAACCCGCAUCGCCCGCCACCCUU